rnacentral:rRNA from 1 species
GGAGCCGCAGUGACCAGGUGGCUGGGACUGUUUAUUAAAAACACAGCACUGUGCAAAAUCGCAAGAUGACGUAUACGGUGUGACACCUGCCCGGUGCCGGAAGGUUAAUUGAUGGGGUUAUCUUCGGAGAAGCUCUUGAUCGAAGCCCCGGUAAACGGCGGCCGUAACUAUAACGGUCCUAAGGUAGCGAAAUUCCUUGUCGGGUAAGUUCCGACCUGCACGAAUGGUGUAACCAUGGCCACGCUGUCUCCACCCGAGACUCAGUGAAAUUGAAAUCGCAGUGAAGAUGCUGUGUACCCGCGGCUAGACGGAAAGACCCCGUGAACCUUUACUACAGCUUGGCACUGAACAUUGAACCUACAUGUGUAGGAUAGGUGGGAGACUUAGAAGCAGAGACGCUAGUUUUUGUGGAGUCGUCCUUGAAAUACCACCCUUGUAGUUUUGAUGUUCUAACGUUGGCCCCUGAAUCGGGGUUACGGACAGUGCCUGGUGGGUAGUUUGACUGGGGCGGUCUCCUCCCAAAGAGUAACGGAGGAGCACGAAGGUUGGCUAAGUACGGUCGGACAUCGUACGGUUAGUGUAAUGGUAGAAGCCAGCUUAACUGCGAGACAGACACGUCGAGCAGGUACGAAAGUAGGUCAUAGUGAUCCGGUGGUUCUGAAUGGAAGGGCCAUCGCUCAACGGAUAAAAGGUACUCCGGGGAUAACAGGCUGAUACCGCCCAAGAGUUCAUAUCGACGGCGGUGUUUGGCACCUCGAUGUCGGCUCAUCACAUCCUGGGGCUGAAGUCGGUCCCAAGGGUAUGGCUGUUCGCCAUUUAAAGUGGUACGCGAGCUGGGUUUAGAACGUCGUGAGACAGUUCGGUCCCUAUCUGCCGUGGGCGUUUGAGAAUUGAGAGGGGUUGCUCCUAGUACGAGAGGACCGGAGUGAACGAACCGCUGGUGUUCGGGUUGUCAUGCCAAUGGCAUUGCCCGGUAGCUACGUUCGGAACUGAUAAGCGCUGAAAGCAUCUAAGCGCGAAGCAGGCCUCGAGAUGAGUUCUCACUAGACUUUUAAAGUCUCUGAAGGGCCGUUGAAGACGACAACGUUGAUAGGCAAGAUGUGGAAGUGGUGUGAGCCAUUAAGCUAACUUGUACUAAUUACCCGUGAGGCUUAACCAUACAACGCCAAACGCGUUU